GGACAGGGGGGGCAACCCUGAUCCAACCAUGCCGCGUGUGUGAAGAAGGUCUUUGGAUUGUACAGCACUUUAAGUUGGGAGGAAGGGCUUUAGGUUAAUACCCUGCAGUUUUGACGUUACCGACACAAUAAGCACCGGCUAACUCUGUGCCAGCAGCCGCGGUAAUACAGAGGGUGCAAGCGUUAAUCGGAAUUACUGGGCGUAAAGCGCGCGUAGGUGGUUCAGUAAGAUGGGUGUGAAAUCCCCGGGCUUAACCUGGGAACUGCUUUCAUAACUGCUGAGCUAGAGUACGGUAGAAGGUAGUGGAAUUUCCUGUGUAGCGGUGAAAUGCGUAGAUAUAGGAAGGAACACCAGUGGCGAAGGCGACUACCUGGACUGAUACUGACACUGAGGUGCGAAAGCGUGGGGAGCAAAC
rnacentral:rRNA from 1 species